rnacentral:rRNA from 1 species
UACCAGCACCCCGAGUGGUCGGGACGAUUAUUGGGCCUAAAGCAUCCGUAGCCGGUCCUGCAAGUCUUCCGUUAAAUCCAGCUGCUCAACAGAUGGGCUGCGGAGGAUACUACAGGGCUAGGAGGCGGGAGAGGCAAGCGGUACUUUAUGGGUAGGGGUAAAAUCCGUUGAUCUACAGAGGAACACCAAAAAAGGCGAAGGCAGCCAACUAUUCUAUUCCUGACAUUGAGGCAUGAAAGCGUGGGGAGCAAACAGG